GAUGAACGCUGGCGGCGUGCCUAAUACAUGCAAGUCGAGCGAACAGACGAGGAGCUUGCUCCUCUGACGUUAGCGGCGGACGGGUGAGUAACACGUGGAUAACCUACCUAUAAGACUGGGAUAACUUCGGGAAACCGGAGCUAAUACCGGAUAACAUGUUGAACCGCAGGGGUGAACAGUGAAAGACGGUCUUGCUGGCACGUAUAGAUGGAUCCGCGCCGCAUUAGCUAGUUGGUAAGGUAACGGCUUACCAAGGCAACGAUGCGUAGCCGACCUGAGAGGGUGAUCGGCCACACUGGAACUGCGACACGGUCCAGACUCCUACGGGAGGCAGCAGUAGGGAAUCUUCCGCAAUGGGCGAAAGCCUGACGGAGCAACGCCGCGUGAGUGAAGAAGGUCUUCGGAUCGUAAAACUCUGUUAUUAGUGAAGAACAAAUGUGUAAGUAACUAUGCACGUCUUGACGGUACCUAAUCAGAAAGCCACGGCUAACUACGUG
rnacentral:rRNA from 1 species